rnacentral:lncRNA from 1 species
UUUUCUACCAAAAUUUCUACCCAUUCCCAUUUUCCCCAAAUUAAGAACCCUAGAAAUUCUUUUCUGCCAAAUUUUCUGCCUCCUCGCUGUUAUUCCCCUCCGGUUCCGACGACAACUAGCAGUCUCACGCUCAUGCUAUCGCUCUUAAGGCCAAAGUUUAUCGCCUCUUCACCAAGUCUUAAGCGCCAGAAAAUGUACUCUUUCUGUUAUUUUUGUCUGUUUGUUUGCUAAGAAAAGUUAUAGGAAAAGGAAAUCAAAUGCUGUUAUAAUCUUAUUUACCAUAUUUGUUCUUUCUCUUUCUGUUACUGUUGUCUGUUUGUUUGCUAAGAAUACUUGUGGGAACUAGGAAAGAGAAAAUCAAAUGCUGUUAUGAUCUGAUUUAGUUAUAUAGAUUUAAUAAUUUAAUUUCAUUACUAGAUUUUCAAACAAUGAGUUUUAGGAUUUGUUCAUCAAAUAAAUAUUAACAAAUAUAUUCUUUAUUUAAGCUGUAAAGCCGACUUGCUUAUCUACACCCCAUGUAGCUUGAGCUUUUCUACCACUCAAUUAAAGCUUUGGCAAUGACUAUUCCUAUGGUGUUUGAUAUUUUGUUUCCACUGACUUUAAUCCAUGAUUCAGAGGCUUUGUUUGACAGAAUAUUAGCUACGUGGGUUUAACAGGUUUCCAAUUAAUAAUUUAUUUAACCUUGUUUGGAACUUUAUGAAUUAUCAAACUUGUUAUUUAUUGAAUUUGAAUUUGAUGUAAUGAAGCAGUCAUGGAUUGAACUAUAGAAUAAAUGUCAAGUGAAAUUAAUAAGGGCUUUAAAUAAUAAUAAUUAUUAUAUGGUAGAUAGAUUUCAAUGUAGAAUGGCAACUUUUUUUUGUUGUUUGGUAUAGGCUACUAUGUUCAUUUAAAGCUUUGUCAUUUUGAAUCCUUUGUUGGCUUGAUAGUUAGGGUGUUCACUUCCUUAGGUGUAGCUUGAGUUCAAGUCACGUUAAUUGCGUUGUUGUUAGGGUUUUAUCCUCUUUUUGUAAUUCACAAAAAAAAGAGCUUGUCAUUUUUGGUAAACUAUAGUGUUGAACCUAAACAUUUGAGCUAACUAAUGGUGUUAUCCAGGGAUUUAAAUAGCGGUCCGAUAUCGGAAUAGCGGCCACUAUAUAGCGGUAGCAGUGUCGUCCGAAACUACUACUACUGAAAAUAGCAAUGUGAAGCAGAGUGACAUUGAUAGCGGUGGAUCGCGGCCGCAAUUUAAUGGGUAAUGGCCAAUUGCAGCAAUAACGGGCCACUAUUCCCGUUAUUUUUCGUUACAGUAAAUUAAAAAAAAAUCCAUCUCCUCUAAACAAAAAUCAACAGAAACACAAUAAAACAAAAGAGAAUAUAUUUCCCUUCUUGCAAAAUCAGAGAGUUUUCAAUUUUAAAAGUAAAAAGAAGUCCAAAUAAACAGAAAAAAACAAUCAAAACUCAAAAGCAAUAGAAAAUAUGAAAUUCUAUUUCUCAUAUUUCAAUUUAGACCCUAAACUCCAAACCAAACGGCAAACAAAGCAAACCUUGAUCACUUGCACAUUUAGAGGUUGAUAGUUUUCAAAUAAGUACCUGAAAGUUUGUCUUGAUUCUUGCUUGUUUUUGCCGUAAAAUGCAAAUAUUGUUAUAAGUUACAAACGAGUCUUGAAUCAGCAGUGCAAAUAUGUUCUUUAGACUUCAGGUUAGGGAUGAAGGGAGAAGGCACAACCAGUAUAUUCCAAGAAUUUGAUAUGCAAAGUAGAGGAUAUUAGUUUUCAGAGGAUGAUAGAGUUUAGGCCUCUUUAGUUUUUCUUUCUAAGUUUUGUGUGUUUAGAGAUUUAAGAACAAAGACGUUUCUACUGUUUCAUUUCCUUUUUUCUUUAUUUUUUCAUUUUUAUUUUCCUUUACACUUAGGUAAAACCGAGGCACCGUCUCUAGGCUACCAGUGUUCUCUUGACAGGUAGUAGGAUAGCUGUUAGGAUCAAUUUGUUGAUUAGUGUACUGAUUACUAAAUAUCCUCUUUUAAUGCAUUCAGAUUUUUAUUUCAAAAAAAAUCACUAAAAAAUUAGAGAUUAAUAAGUUAGAAUUGUUUGGAGAGAUUUUACUGAAAAUGAAAAUUACUUUGAUGACAAUCAUAUUAUUAUAUUUUUUUAAUAUGAAAGCUUGAUGAUAAUCAUAUUAUUAUAUUUUUUAAUAUGAAAGCUUAUUAGAUUUGUAAUUUUACUUUAUAUGUUAUUUUUUAAUUAAUAUUAUAAUUAUAGUUUAUAAUGAUAAUGAUAAUUAUUUAUUAUUAUUAUUUUAAAAUUUCAUAACUUUCAUUACUCAAGGUUUGUUUAGGGUUACACACAAAAUUAAUAAAAAAUUAUAACCUCUGUUGUUUGGGUUUGCUUAAGGUUACACAUAAAAUUAACGAAAAAAUUAUAGCCUCCAUCACUUAUGACUUGUAUUAUGAAAGGUAAAAAAUCAAGACAAAUUAAUUCAUUGUGUUUUUCUUCAUCAAAUCCGAUAGAUGACUUCAAUUCAACAUUAGAUAAAUCCCUAUUGAUUUUAGUUUGCAUAAUAUGAAAAACUUGAAUUUUAAAUUUGAUCCAAUUUGAAUUUAAAUUUUAUUAAGAUGGAACAAAACAAACUAUUUAUACCAAAAACUUUGGAACCAAGUAAUAAUGGGUUAUGGUGUAUUGUUGUUUUUAAAAAAAUAAAUAAAUUAUAUAUGGAUUAUGUAACAAAUUUAAAUUUUCCAUGUUAAUGAUGGUUAUUUUUUUUUGUAUUAUAUUGUUAAUAAUAUAAGUAAUGAGUUGUUUAUAUUUCUAAAUAUAAUUUUAUGUUUCUUAUAUAUAAAUAAAAAAAAGCAUGCCACCACGUGAAUAGUUCCCGACUAAAGGAUUGGAGGGUGCACCAAGUAAUGAUAUAGGUUGGCACUUUGGAACUCCAGUGCCAAAUACGAAAGAAAAUAUCAUAUGUAAAUUUUGUGGUAAAGUUGUGAAAGGAGGAAUAACACGAUUUAAAGAGCACAUUGCUCAUAAAACAGGCAAUGUUGCACCAUGCCCUAAUGUUAUUGGUAUGUGAUACUUUAUUAUUAUUUUUAAAUAUUAUUGUAAAUUUAUCUAUAUAGAUUAUAUAUAAUUUAUAAUAAUAUAAAGUGUGAAUUAUUUUUAUUUUAUUAACAGGUGUCAUUAGAGAAAGUAUGAUGAAUAUACUGAAAGAAAGCAACACAAAGAAAAUAAAGAAAAAGAGGAGAAAAUAUGAAUUCUUAUCUCAAUUAAGAGAAGAGGAGGAUGAACACGAGGAAUUCAUUGAUGAGGUUUCUGCUAUAAGGAAAGGAUGUAACGCCCCAAAUCUUAGAUAUUUAUUUAUGUAUGUUGUGAUACAUAAUUACGUAUCUGCUUCAGUGGUUAAGUGUUUUGGGAAGUGGCUGAGAAGUCUUGGGUUCAAGCCUUGCUUGUACAAAGUUUUUUUUUAAGUAAUAAACCCUUUCUGUUAGUUAGUAGGCUUAUAAACUAAUGUGAGUGUUGCAUGACAGAAAAGGUCUGCUAGUCAAGGGGUAAGUGGCGUGUCAUUCCUACUAAAGGUCUUGAGUUCGAGUCCUGUUGUGCACAAUGUGUGUUUAUUUUACUGCUCUGCCGUGUGGGAAGUUGAGGUUGACAAUUCGGUGGUUGAGGAGAUAAUGGUAGAGUGAUUUUAGGAGGAUUAUGUAGGAUUUGAAAGUGGUAGAGUAGUGUCGAAAUUGGCUAGUAGGUGCACAGAAAUUUUUGCUAAAUUAGCCAUUUUAUCAAGUGUCGAUUUUGUCUAUUCUUUCCAUUUUGUGGUUUCUACCAAAUAGUUCUCUAUUUGUUAAGGUCGUAUGUUGCUUGACCAUUCAGGUAUUCUUGUGUUGCGUUUUGUGCUUUCUUUUUGACGAAACACUACUUUCCUCCCUCCACAACCCAUUACCGAAUACCCUUGUUUCUUCUUCCUCUCCUCAAAUCGGUUUGCUUUAGUUGAACCUCUUCUCUUUUUUUCUUCUUCCCCUCAUUCGAGUCUUCUGUAUUAACUGGUCCCAUUCUUUUCCAUUCUAUUACCUUGACCGAUUGCUUCUUGCUCUUUUUCCCUCUCUUCAUCUUAGUAUUGUAGCCGAAUACCUUGUUCUCUCCUUCUAUACUUUCAGUUCUGGGCUAUUGAUAUUCGACUAAUCAGGUCUGAGGGUACGUGGUUAUUCCUUUUCUCUCUCUUUUUCUCUUCUGUCACACUAAUAGUUUCAUCUAAUAUCUCUCUAUGCUGCCGUUGUUUGAAAGGUACAAGUGUUCCAUUAUGCCUCUAUCAUUUGUGUAUUUCUGGCUCUUGUGGGUAUAGGCCGAAUAUUCUUUCCUUCUAGUCUGGACAUUACAUUUUCGAUAAAUGAUUAUUCAACUAGUUCAAAUUGUUCUGUUGUUUGAUUGUUGAUAAGCUUUUUUUGGAGUGCAGGAAACCUCUAAGGCUUUGUGGUUAGAUUUCUUACAAUGGUUCCAGGGUGAUCGAUCAAAGCGAGUGAUAGGUAAUUCGUGAGCAAGGGUUGGCUAGGGUUCUUUUCAAUUCAUUUGAUAAGUGUUUAACUGAAGUUCUGAUUGUGAUAGGUUUGGAAUACUCGUGGGCCAGUAGCGUAUUUUCGUAAUCAAGUGUGUAAUCACACUGCUAUAAAUGUAAAUCAACAAAAGUUGGAAUAGGUAAUCGUUGACCCUACACGAACGUGCAUUUGCUCAUGUGGUAAUUCGAAUGUGCAAUCAUGGGCGUUAGAUCGUAGAGGCCACCACGAGCGAUUUCAUAGGUUUAGGCCGCUUCGGGCAAUGUUGGGCCGAAAUAGGCCGUGUAGGCCUUACGGGAUCGUAGGCCACACACGGGUAGACCACAUAGACAUGUGGAGAUUUUUGGGCCAGGCUGUAUAGUUUACACAACCAAGGCCAUUUUUGGGCUUCGUGGGUUACACGAGCAUGUGGUCCUACAUGGGCCGCAUUGUGGUCUUGGGCCCAUUUUUCACUAUUUGACUGUUAAGGUUGCACAGGUUGCCCGAGACGACUGUGGACAUACUGUUGGGUCAGUAAGUAUACCUAGACCCUAAUCUGAUGAAAUUACUAUUUUGCCCCUAUGAGGUAAAAUGACUAAUAUACCUCUAUGAUAUGUAUGAUUGAAUAGAGCAUGGCCGUUUUAUAUAUGUUGCAUACAUGCAUGAUAUUAUGAUAUGUUGCAUGAGGAUAGGUUAUUAUGAUUGGAGGAAGUGUACUGUACUGGUAGCUCUACUGCAAAUUUUAUUUAGUGCCGCAACUGGUGCUAAUUUCGGUAUGUAGGGAUGGGUUGGUUGAUUUUAUCCCCACAUGGUGUGUAGGGCUGGACGGAGUGGUGUGUAGAGGCUGGUUGGGUAGAAUGUCUGAUUACAUAUCUGUACUGUGACUGCUACUGAAUUGGGCUACAACCCACACUGAUUCUGAUACUGUAAUGGACUAAGGCCCUAAGUGAGAUUAAACUGUUACUGAAACGGGCUUAGGCCCAGACUGCAAAUGCCUACUGUAUGACUGACUGUUGUUAAGAGAUUAUACACUGAUUUUUCAUAAACUCACCCUUUCUGUUUUCUACACAGGUAAUCUUUAGGCGGAUUGGUGCCGUGAGGGAUUCGAAGGUGGCUACACAACAGCAUUUGCUUCCAUUUUUAACUUUUAAUUUAUAAGUAAUUUAAUUUGGGUAUUUGUUUUGUAAUAAGUCCUCUUUCAGUUUUUAUUUUAAUUUGGGAUUUAUUUACUUUGAUUUAUAUCUGUUAGUAGUAGGUCACGGAUUUUCAAAAUAUAAACAAAUAUUUUUUCUAAAACAUCACGUUUACACAACAUAUUCUGAGAGCUUCCGCAACAACGCUGUUUUAAAGUGUAAUAAUAACCUAAUAUGAUUAACGUUUUGCUGAA